rnacentral:lncRNA from 1 species
CACAAGUGUCUCAAACAAUAAUAUCAGAAAAACCGUUACCAUUCGAAUGAAAUCUGCAAAACAAACUCAGUUAUAAUAACCCACAAUCUUGAUUAUGUUUCCUCAACCAUACUACUAUAACUCUCGUUAUCCUCAUCUUUACGUUAAUUGAGAGAUAUUUAAGAGAAAACCAGAAAUUUUCUUGGAUGUUGGAAGUGGAUGUAAUCACACAAUACUGCACAAUCCAAAAGAGUAACAAACAAUAUUCAAUUCAUGAGUUAUAAACCAAGAAAAUUUUAAAGGAACAAAAUAAGACGGGAUUAGGGUUAUGUACUGAAAAGAAUUACCCAUGUUGAACAGUAAGGGAUCGGUGUGUAUCCGAACUUGAGAUAUACUUCAUCGGAAAUCAGGGAUUGGUAAGUAAUGGAAAUAAUAAAGCAGCAUUAGAAUUGAAUCCGAUUUGUCGUUUCGUUUUUUGCUUUAAGUGCUUGCAAUUGAAGUGGUGCUUUCAAACGAUUUGGGGAAUUUGCUCUGAAACGUGUUCGUUUUGAAACGGCUCAGGAUCAUUGUAAA